GAACAGGGAUGAGCCCAGCACCGAACCUCGCGCCCGGUUAAGCGGGUGCCGAGGAAUGUGGUGUUCGGGAGGAUCGUGCGCGCCUGUCCGGCAUAUAUCGUCCAAGUCUCCAUGAACGGGGCGAGCAACCCACAGAGGGUGUCAGGCCCGUAGAUUAGACGAGUCGAGACCGUGCAUUGGAUCUCUUCCCAAGAGUCGGGUUGCUUGAGCGUGCAGCCCUAAGCGGGAGGUAAACUCCUUCUAAGGCUAAAUAUAUCCACGAGACCGAUAGCGAACAAGUACCGCGAGGGAAAGUUGAAAAGAACUUUGAAGAGAGAGUUCAAGAGUGCGUGAAACCGUUCAGGGGGUUAAACGGGUGGGCCCUCGAAGGUCGAAAAGUCCCCGCUCCCGGCACUUGGUUGUAUGCCCUUGCUGCGAGAGACUUUCUGAAUUGGAAGCUCGAUCGCCGGCUCGGAGCGCAUUAGCCACGCCAAGGUCCGCUAGUGGGGGGCUUAGUAGGACUCCGCGACCGACUGGGUGUCUGUCAUACGGGACGUUUAUGUUAGCGAGUCUCGGUGCGGCUUUAAACGGCUUGCCCUUGGCGAGCGCUGGCGUUUCUCGACAGUACUGCCCGGUCGUGACCUGUAUCCUUCUCGGAUCGCGUCCGCCUCG
rnacentral:rRNA from 1 species